rnacentral:antisense_RNA from 1 species
AAUAACCAAAUAUGAUACUCGGGAUAAGGGUCAAGUUGGUAAUUUUUCUUACAUCUCUCCCUUCUGAAGCCCAGGUAUCAUAUACGCCCCCAAAAUAAAGAGCCUUGAAUACUAGAAGAAAAACACCUAGACCUAACAAGAUUGUGGUCAUUUUAUUUCGAUCUUUCCA